rnacentral:rRNA from 1 species
GACGAACGCUGGCGGCGUGCUUAACACGUGCAAGUCGAACGGAAAGGCCCUGCUUUUGUGGGGUGCUCGAGUGGCGAACGGGUGAGUAACACGUGAGUAACCUGCCCUUGACUUUGGGAUAACUUCAGGAAACUGGGGCUAAUACCGGAUAGGAGCUCCUGCUGCAUGGUGGGGGUUGGAAAGUUUCGGCGGUUGGGGAUGGACUCGCGGCUUAUCAGCUUGUUGGUGGGGUAGUGGCUUACCAAGGCUUUGACGGGUAGCCGGCCUGAGAGGGUGACCGGCCACAUUGGGACUGAGAUACGGCCCAGACUCCUACGGGAGGCAGCAGUGGGGAAUAUUGCACAAUGGGCGGAAGCCUGAUGCAGCAACGCCGCGUGCGGGAUGACGGCCUUCGGGUUGUAAACCGCUUUCGCCUGUGACGAAGCGUGAGUGGCGGUAAUGGGUAAAGAAGCACCGGCUAACUACGUG